rnacentral:rRNA from 1 species
AUAUCAAUAAGCGGAGGAAAAGAAACCAACAGGGAUUGCCUUAGUAACGGCGAGUGAAGCGGCAACAGCUCAGAUUUGAAAGCUGGCUUAUGCCCGCAUUGUAAUCUGCAGAGGAAGCUUCUGGUGCGGCACCGUCCGAGUCCCCUGGAACGGGGCGCCAUAGAGGGUGAGAGCCCCGUAUGGUCGGAUGCCUAGCCUGUGUGAAGCUCCUUCGACGAGUCGAGUAGUUUGGGAAUGCUGCUCUAAAUGGGAGGUAAAUUCCUUCUAAAGCUAAAUAUUGGCCAGAGACCGAUAGCGCACAAGUA